rnacentral:rRNA from 1 species
GUGCCAGCAGCCGCGGUAAUACGGAGGGUGCAAGCGUUAUCCGGAUUCACUGGGUUUAAAGGGUGCGUAGGCGGGCUUGUAAGUCAGUGGUGAAAGCCCGGAGCUUAACUUCGGAAUUGCCAUUGAUACUGCAAGCCUUGAGUACGGUUGAGGUGGGCGGAAUACAUCAUGUAGAGGUGAAAUUCUUAGAUAUGAUGUAGAACACCGAUUGCGAAGGCAGCUCACUAAAGCGUAACUGACGCUGAGGCACGAAAGCAUGGGGAUCAAACAGGAUUAGAAACCCUCGUAGUCC